rnacentral:rRNA from 1 species
AUGAACGUUGGCGGCGUGGAUUAGGCAUGCAAGUCGAGCGAUAAACCCCAGCAAUGGGGUGGAAAGCGGCGAAAGGGAGAGUAACGCGUGGAUUAUCUACCCUCGGGUCUGGGAUAGCCGCGGGAAACUGCGGGUAAUACCAGAUAAUAUCUCCGGAUCAAAGGUGUGAUUCCGCCGGAGGAUGAGUCCGCGUCCUAUCAGCUUGUUGGUGGGGUAAUGGCCUACCAAGGCGAUGACGGGUACUGGGUGUGAGAGCAUGACCCAGCUCACUGGGACUGAGACACUGCCCAGACACCUACGGGUGGCUGCAGUCGAGGAUCUUCGGCAAUGGGCGCAAGCCUGACCGAGCGACGCCGCGUGCGGGAUGAAGGCUUUCGGGUUGUAAACCGCUGUCAGAGGGGAGGAAAUUCGUGGGGGUUCUCCCCUGCGAUUGACCUAUCUUCAGAGGAAGGACGGGCUAAGUACGU